rnacentral:rRNA from 1 species
CCUACGGGAGGCAGCAGUGGGGAAUUUUGGACAAUGGGCGCAAGCCUGAUCCAGCCAUGCCGCGUGCAGGAUGAAGGCCUUCGGGUUGUAAACUGCUUUUGUACGGAACGAAAAGACUCUGGUUAAUACCUGGGGCCCAUGACGGUACCGUAAGAAUAAGCACCGGCUAACUACGUGCCAGCAGCCGCGGUAAUACGUAGGGUGCGAGCGUUAAUCGGAAUUACUGGGCGUAAAGCGUGCGCAGGCGGUUAUAUAAGACAGAUGUGAAAUCCCCGGGCUCAACCUGGGAACUGCAUUUGUGACUGUAUAGCUAGAGUACGGCAGAGGGGGAUGGAAUUCCGCGUGUAGCAGUGAAAUGCGUAGAUAUGCGGAGGAACACCGAUGGCGAAGGCAAUCCCCUGGGCCUGUACUGACGCUCAUGCACGAAAGCGUGGGGAGCAAACAGGAUUAGAUACCCUGGUAGUCCACGCCCUAAACGAUGUCAACUGGUUGUUGGGUCUUCACUGACUCAGUAACGAAGCUAACGCGUGAAGUUGACCGCCUGGGGAGUACGGCCGCAAGGUUGAAACUCAAAGGAUUGACGG